UACGUAGGGGGCAAGCGUUGUCCGGAUUUAUUGGGCGUAAAGAGCGUGUAGGCGGCCUGAAAGGUCAGCUGUGAAAACUCGAGGCUCAACCUCGAGACGUCGGUUGAAACCAUCUGGCUAGAGUCCGGAAGAGGAGAGUGGAAUUCCCGGUGUAGCGGUGAAAUGUGCAGAUAUCGGGAAGAACACCCGUGGCGAAGGCGGCUCUCUGGGACGGUACUGACGCUGAGACGCGAAAGCGUGGGGAGCGAACAGG
rnacentral:rRNA from 1 species